rnacentral:rRNA from 1 species
CUACGGGCUGCUCCAGUGAGGAAUUUUGCGCAAUGGGGGGAACCCUGACGCAGCAACGCCGCGUGAGUGAUGAAGGCUUUCGGGUCGUAAAGCUCCGUCAAGUGGGAAGAACCUAUGCAGUGUUAAUAUCACUGUAUACUGACGGUACCACUGAAGGAAGCACCGGCUAACUCCGUGCCAGCAGCCGCGGUAAUACGGGGGGUGCAAGCGUUAUUCGGAAUCAUUGGGCGUAAAGGGCACGUAGGCGGCUUGGUAAGUCAGAUGUGAAAGCCCGGGGCUUAACCCCGGAAGUGCAUUUGAUACUGUCAGGCUUGCGUAUGGGAGAGGGAAGUGGAAUUCCUGGUGUAGAGGUGAAAUUCGUAGAUAUCAGGAGGAACACCGGUGGCGAAGGCGACUUCCUGGACCAAUACUGACGCUGAGGUGCGAAGGCGUGGGUAGCAAACAGGAUUAGAUACCCGCGUAGUC